AUCACGGGGGCUAGACCACCUUACAACUCACCCGGCACCAGUAGCCAGUGAGCGCUAGCCGUGGCCGAUACGUUGGUGCUCGGCUAGUGGGCUACUCCGCAAAGGCGGAAGCGGAACUUCGACAAACCCUGGUUUCAGAGCUCGCUCCCUCUCAAAAAUGGCGAACGAGCCGCAGGCAUCUUCUCGUCCAUGGAUCCUCGAAGCCGUACCUCUAUUAGUGGUCUUCCUAAUCGCCGCUCACGUCUUUGCAUUGGUAUACUGGAUAUACAGACUAGCUACUGAGAAGCAGCAGCCUCAGCGAAGAAAGGCACACUGAAGAACCAUGCACUGGAAUUAAAGAAGUUCAUUUAUCCAGCAAUGGUUUGAAGUCCUGUGCAGAGUCAGGCAUCCUAUACAACAUCGCUUGUGAGAGUUUACACAUGCAAGUUCUGUAGCUCCAAAAUUUCCUCUCUUUACUUCUCUUUUCUUUUUUGAUGUGCUACGUGAUCAAUCUCCUGUAAAUGAAUGAGCAUAUAACACGAUAACCAUUGAUAAGUGUUGCAGGUAAUGUGUAGCAUGAUUCGGUUGAAUGUUAGAUGUUAAGAAGUAGAACACCAA